rnacentral:rRNA from 1 species
CCUACGGGAGGCAGCAGUGGGGAAUAUUGCACAAUGGGCGCAAGCCUGAUGCAGCAACGCCGCGUGAGUGAUGAAGGCCUUCGGGUUGUAAAGCUCUUUUACCAGGGAUGAUAAUGACAGUACCUGGAGAAUAAGCUCCGGCUAACUCCGUGCCAGCAGCCGCGGUAAU